rnacentral:rRNA from 1 species
ACGUACACUCCUGCGGGAGGCAGCAGUGGGGAAUUUUGGACAAUGGGCGAAAGCCUGAUCCAGCCAUGCCGCGUGCAGGAUGAAGGCCUUCGGGUUGUAAACUGCUUUUGUACGGAACGAAACGGCCUUUUCUAAUAAAGAGGGCUAAUGACGGUACCGUAAGAAUAAGCACCGGCUAACUACGUGCCAGCAGCCGCGGUAAUACGUAGGGUGCAAGCGUUAAUCGGAAUUACUGGGCGUAAAGCGUGCGCAGGCGGUUAUGUAAGACAGUUGUGAAAUCCCCGGGCUCAACCUGGGAACUGCAUCUGUGACUGCAUAGCGAGAGUACGGUAGAGGGGGAUGGAGUUCCGCGUGUAGCAGUGAAAUGCGUAGAUAUGCGGAGGAACACCGAUGGCGAAGGCAAUCCCCUGGACCUGUACUGACGCUCAUGCACGAAAGCGUGGGGAGCAAACAGGAUUAGAAACCCCGGUAGUCCCA